UAAAAAUUAGGCAUGGAAGGUUGGGUACGUUAUGGGGCGAGGGAAUCGGGGAAUGCAAAAACCAAUGAUUUUUGCUUGACGUGUUCAACUCAAUCAUACACAGGAAUGAAUAAUCAUAGUAAUCAAAUUUGUGUAUAUCAAGACAGUUCAAUUCCAGGAAAUUGACACGUGCAUGAAAAGAAUUGUGGUGGGUAUGAAGGAGAGGUACCUUGUAUUUGAUGGAGGCUUCUGGAUGACCACAUGGUACAAUCUCUG